AGUGUGGGAUUUAAAGUUGUGUGUAACUCGUGACAGCAUACCUUUAAAUCCUGGUCUGG
rnacentral:pre_miRNA from 1 species